UGAUUCGGAACCACUCAGUUCACAAGACAACGUUAAAGAUUGCAUGAUGACUGGUGUGGAAGAGAAUGUGAAUUGCAUUUGUGAUUGUGGUGUCAACAGUAGGAAGUGCGUUUUUGUAUAUAUGCAGCUUAUAACUUGUACGUAAGUUAUGCGAGGUGUGUCGGGUUUCGAGUUCGCAAGGGUGAUACACUGUGUGGAAAAGAUGGAACACAGCGUAGAAGGCAAUUUUUUUGCAACAAGGAAGGAAAGUGAGUCGAGAAAUACAUCUCUAAUUCGAAUAGGAAGAGGGAGCAUAGACCGCUGACUCGUACUGGUUGUGAAGCCAUGCUUGCGGUGUACUUUGACACAAAAACUUCGACUUGGAGGGUUAAAAAAUUAGUUGAGAAGCACAACCACGAUCUUGUCCCACAAUGCUUGGUACACCUAAUUCCAAACCACCGAGAGUUGACUGAAUCACACAAAGCUCAGGCGAACACCAUGCAUGAUAAUGGUCUUCCAACCUUUAAAAUAAUGGGACUCAUGGUAGGCCAAGCUGGUGGGUAUGCUAAUGUUGGAUUCACAAAGAAGGACUUGGAUAACCACAUUUAAAGAACUCAUCGCGCAAAGCUCAUUGGUGGGGAUUCCAAUGCGACAAUAAGCUAUCUACUUGGAAAAGCCGAUGUUGACCCAUGGCCAUGGCAAGGUAUAGUGCUACUGAUGAAAAUCGACUGGCGAAUUUAUUUUAGGCAGAUGGCAUUUGUAGGGCUGAUUAUCAGUGCUUUAGAGAGGUGUUUGCAUUUGAUACAACCUAUUGGAAGAAUAAGUACAGAAGGCCAUUCGUAAUCUUCUCAGGUUGUAACCAUCACCGCCAAACAUGCAUAUUUGGCUUUGCCUUAAUAGAGGGUGAACAAACGACAACAUAUACAUGAUUGUUGCAAAACUUUCUAGAAGUCAUCCUAAACAAGUCUCCCAUGGUCACAGAUGGUGACAAGGCAAUGAAGGCAUCAAUUUAAGAAAUCUUUCCAAAUGUAACUCACCGAUUAUGUGGUUGGCACAUUCAGAAAAAUAUAACGACAAACAUAAAAACCAAAGGUUUUUCUGACAACUUCAGAAAAUAUUUGUAUGCUCCAUGGCAUCUUGAUGAAUUUGAUGAAUAUUGGAAGAAUAAGCUAAAAAAGUAUGAGUUGGAAGAAAAUUGUUGGGUUCUAAAUGAAUAUGAAAAGAAGAAAAGGUGGGCAAGUGCUUACUUGAGGGAUAAAUUUUGUGCUAGAUUUAGAACAACAUCAAGGUGUGAGGCAAUAAACAACUUCAUCAAGAGGUUUAUUGGCAUUCGCCAAAGUCUUCUAGAGUUGGUAUAAAUUCUUGGACAUGCUCUUAGGGACUACAGACACAAUGAAUUGGUUUCUCAAUUUAAGAUGGUGUAUGGAGAUCCCAUUCUAACUAUUGGGGUAGAAGCAUUGGAGCUUUGUGCUGCAAAUUUUUACACAAAGGAGAUUCUUGGAAAAAUAAAAAUGGAGAUUCAAGGAGUGGUCGCAUUAGAUAUAAUUAAUGAGAAAAACAUAUCAACUAUUAUUGUGUUAAAAGUUAAGGAGUGUAAAAAAGAGGCAACAUAUAUACAACGUACUUUAUGAUCGUAAUACUGAGAAUAUGGAGUGUGAAUGUAAUCCGUGGAGUAGUGAAGGCAUUCUUGCAGCCACAUGUUUUGUGCCAUGAAAAGGGUAGGUUUACAGAAGUUGCCAAAAAGUCUUCUUUUGAAAAGAUGGUCCAAGGAUGCUAAUAAGUAUUUGGACGAAAAUUCUGCUGGAGGCACUGCGCAAGACAGAGAAAGAGAAUUUUCAAUGCGCUAUGGCGCAUUGUCAGCGGCAACUACAUGGAUGGUAUUCUUAGGAGCAUAAGAUGGUCCUUCUUUCCAUGACGCUAUGAAUGAAGUUUGUCAGUUGACCAAAACGCUAGAGCAAAAAUCUUGCUUGAAAAGAUAAACAAGAGAUUCUCCCAUGUCGAACUUUGUUGGUGACCUUUCAGUGGUCAAGACAAAAGGUGCACCGAAGAGAAGAAAAGAGAAAAGUAAACGAAAAUGCACUAAAUGCAGCAGUGCUAGUCAUGUAAAGAAGAAAUGUCCUGUGAGGAAUGACGGUGGUGAUUCGGGUGAUAAGACUGGUAGUGGCACACAAGCUAGCUUGGGUAAAGAAGAGGUUAGUAAGAUACAAUAUUACAGUAGGGGUUACUUGAAUAAAAAUAAACUGAUAAAUUCUAUGUUGUAGUUAUACUUGAUAGCAAUUUUGACUGCAUGUCUUCUUUUUUCAUAAGAACUUUCCAGAGACCCUGUGGCUUCCCAAGGGACAUAAGAAGUGCCAAAUACAGAAGUAGAUACUUCUGUGCAGCUAGGGUUUGGGCUAGGUGAUUCAGGAUUGAAUAAUAGUCAUGGGGCUCCCAUCCCACCAUAUGAAAGUCAUCAGUGGUUAUUACAGGUUGUACAACAAGGACAAUAUCCAAAGUCCAACGACAUGCAGUAGCAUUACCUAGUAUAGUGUGAUGAGAGUAUAGUUUGAGAUGUUAUCUAAAUUUUCAAAUUUUAAUUAGUAGUGCACUGAGGUUGAUAGAAAAAUUUCUAUUAUGAAAAACAUGCAUUGUUAGAAUGCUUGUUCCAUUGAUGAUUAUUUAUUUACAUCUUUGUUUCAUGUUAUAUUUCACCAGUCGUGUGAUGUGUCUGACAGGUAGAUUUUGAUCUAUGUUCCGACUGCUUUAGUAAUAGAAAUUUUGUUACAAUCCUAUCUGUUGGUUGUCUUUUUAGAAUUCUAAAUUUAGUUUUUAAUUCAAAUCUAUAAAAUGAGUAAAUAACCCAGUCUUAUGUAAAUUGAUAAAAGUAUAUUGUCUAAUAAGCACUCUGUAAAUUAUUUGGCUCGAGCAAAUAACUUCUGUAACUUCUUAUUUUACCAAAGGCACUCUUGAAAAGGUAACCAUGUGCUGAACUAAGACUGGUUGUAUGUAAAUAUAGUGACACAAAUAGGUAGGAAAUGGGUUUGAAGAGGAACAAGAUGAAGAGUUUUUUGUUUCAGGAAAAACCUUGAUUUGGAGGGCAGUCAAGUUGCCAAUUUACGCUGUUGCUUUGGUUCCUCUAACUGUAGCCAGUGCAGUAGCUUAUUUGCAGACGGGUAUGUUCUCUGCUCGGACCUAUUUUGUGCUCUUGGCUUCUUCGGUUCUUGUUAUUACCUAG